AGAGUUUGAUCAUGGCUCAGAACGAACGCUGGCGGCAGGCCUAACACAUGCAAGUCGAACGUGAAGCCACCUUCGGGUGGUGGAAAGUGGCAGACGGGUGAGUAACGCGUGGGAACGUGGCUUUCGGUUCGGAAUAACCCAGGGAAACUUGGGCUAAUACCGGAUACGCCCUUCGGGGGAAAGAUUCAUCGCCGAAAGAUCGGCCCGCGUCGGAUUAGCUAGUUGGUAGGGUAAUGGCCUACCAAGGCGACGAUCCGUAGCUGGUCUGAGAGGAUGACCAGCCACACUGGGACUGAGACACGGCCCAGACUCCUACGGGAGGCAGCAGUGGGGAAUAUUGGACAAUGGGCGAAAGCCUGAUCCAGCCAUGCCGCGUGGGUGAAGAAGGCCUUAGGGUUGUAAACCCCUUUCAGCGGGGAAGAUAAUGACGGUACCCGCAGAAGAAGCCCCGGCUAACUCCGUGCCAGCAGCCGCGGUAAUACGGAGGGGGCUAGCGUUGUUCGGAAUUACUGGGCGUAAAGCGCGCGUAGGCGGACCUGCAAGUCGGGGGUGAAAGCCCGAGGCUCAACCUCGGAACUGCCUUCGAUACUGCGGGUCUCGAGUCCGGGAGAGGUGAGUGGAAUUCCUAGUGUAGAGGUGAAAUUCGUAGAUAUUAGGAAGAACACCAGUGGCGAAGGCGGCUCACUGGCCCGGUACUGACGCUGAGGCGCGAAAGCGUGGGGAGCAAACAGGAUUAGAUACCCCGGUAGUCC
rnacentral:rRNA from 1 species